rnacentral:rRNA from 1 species
UCAGACGAUGCGUCAUGCAUAUCAAUAAGCGGAGGAAAAGAAACUAACAAGGAUUCCCCUAGUAACGGCGAGUGAAGCGGGAAGAGCUCAAAUUUGAAAUCUUAAAGGGUUUCCCUUUACGAAUUGUAGUUUAAAGAAGUGUUUUCUGUUGAGGUUUUGGUAAAAGUUCUUUGGAAUAGGACAUCAUAGAGGGUGAGAAUCCCGUAUUUGACCUUUACUUUCAACUUUGUGAUACACUUUCAAAGAGUCGGAUUGUUUGGGAAUGCAGUCCAAAAUGGGUGGUAAAUUUCAUCUAAAGCUAAAUAUUGGCGAGAGACCGAUAGCGAACAAGUACCGUGAGGGAAAGAUGAAAAGAACUUUGAAAAGAGAGUUAAACAGCACGUGAAAUUGUCAAAAGGGAAGCGUUUGACACCAGUGUUGUUUUUCUGAAAAUCAAUUAAAGAACUGUUUAUGCUAAGCUGUUUAGACUUUAUCAGCUAUCUGUUUAGUUUUGAGCUUUUCUUUAAUGCACUUUUCAGUUAACAAGUCAACAUCAAUUUCUUUUGCUGUAAAAAAGCUUGAGGAAGGUGGCUUGAGAUUCGUCUUAAGUGUUUAUAGCCUCUUGCCUAUGCAGUCGGAGAGAUUGAGGUCUGCAGCGUAGAUCCUUCGGGGCUAAAUGCAUUUGUGCUAAGUUAUAGCAUUUUAUAGACAACUUGUUGACUAUGAUUUGUCUUGUAGCUUACUCGCUUAUGUUAUUUUACCUACGCUUAGGAUGUUGACACACGCGCGUGCUCG